rnacentral:rRNA from 1 species
AUAGCGUAUAUUAAAGUUGUUGCAGUUAAAAAGCUCGUAGUUGGAUUUGUGGCUGUCGCUAGUGGCCUGUCACUUAGUGUCAGUGCUUGCUGGCGUCGCCAUCCUUGGGUGGAGCCUGUGUGGCAUUAGGUUGUCGUGCAGGGGAUGCCCAUCGUUUACUGUGAGAAAAUUAGAGUGUUCAAAGCAGGCUUAUGCCGUUGAAUAUGUUAGCAUGGAAUAAUAAGAUAGGACCUUGGUACUAUUUUGUUGGUUUGCGCACCGAGGUAAUGAUUAAUAGGGACAGUUGGGGGUAUUCGUAUUCCAUUGUCAGAGGUGAAAUUCUUGGAUUUCUGGAAGACGAACUACUGCGAAAGCAUUUACCAAGGAUGUUUUC